rnacentral:rRNA from 1 species
CAGUGAAAUUGAACUCGCUGUGAAGAUGCAGUGUACCCGCGGCAAGACGGAAAGACCCCGUGAACCUUUACUAUAGCUUGACACUGAACAUUGAGCCUUGAUGUGUAGGAUAGGUGGGAGGCUUAGAAGUGUGGACGCCAGUCUGCAUGGAGCCGACCUUGAAAUACCACCCUUUAAUGUUUGAUGUUCUAACGUUGACCCGUAAUCCGGGUUGCGGACAGUGUCUGGUGGGUAGUUUGACUGGGGCGGUCUCCUCCUAAAGAGUAACGGAGGAGCACGAAGGUUGGCUAAUCCUGGUCGGACAUCAGGAGGUUAGUGCAAUGGCAUAAGCCAGCUUGACUGCGAGCGUGACGGCGCGAGCAGGUGCGAAAGCAGGUCAUAGUGAUCCGGUGGUUCUGAAUGGAAGGGCCAUCGCUCAACGGAUAAAAGGUACUCCGGGGAUAACAGGCUGAUACCGCCCAAGAGUUCAUAUCGACGGCGGUGUUUGGCACCUCGAUGUCGGCUCAUCACAUCCUGGGGCUGAAGUAGGUCCCAAGGGUAUGGCUGUUCGCCAUUUAAAGUGGUACGCGAGCUGGGUUUAGAACGUCGUGAGACAGUUCGGUCCCUAUCUGCCGUGGGCGCUGGAGAACUGAGGGGGGCUGCUCCUAGUACGAGAGGACCGGAGUGGACGCAUCACUGGUGUUCGGGUUGUCAUGCCAAUGGCACUGCCCGGUAGCUAAAUGCGGAAGAGAUAAGUGCUGAAAGCAUCUAAGCACGAAACUUGCCCCGAGAUGAGUUCUCCCUGACUCCUUGAGAGUCCUGAAGGAACGUUGAAGACGACGACGUUGAUAGGCCGGGUGUGUAAGCGCAGCGAUGCGUUGAGCUAACCGGUACUAAUGAACCGUGAGGCUUAACCUUACAACGCCGAAGCUGUU